CGCCUGUAGUAUCUCCAAAUUACAGGUACAUCCUGCCCGGUGAAUUACUUAAACGGCUGCGGUAUCCUGACCGUGCAAAGGUAGCAUAAUCAUUUGCCCCCUAAUUAGGGGCUAGCAUGAAUGGACAAACGAGAUUAUACCUGUCUCCUUUAUAUUCAUAAAAAUUAAUCUACAGGUGAAGAAGCCUGUAUCCAUAUAAAAGACAAGAAGACCCUGUCGAGCUUUAUUUAUUUAUAAAACAAUGUAACAACAAAUACUCCCCCUUAUAAAUAACCUUUGUUGGGGCGACAAUGGAGCACAUAAAACCUCCAAUACACCCAAGACAUCAAGUCUCCCAAAAGAUCCCCUAAAGGACAUCAGGCACUAGCUACCGCAGGGAUAACAGACUAAUCUUCCUCAAGAGCCCAAAUCUACAGGAAGGCUUGGCACCUCGAUGUUGGCUUAGGAUCACGCUUGAAUGCAGCCAUUCAAGUCGUAGGUUUGUUCAACCUUUAAUCUCCU
rnacentral:rRNA from 1 species